rnacentral:lncRNA from 1 species
GUAAGCGAAAAAAUAAAUAAGAUGUUAUGGUGAGACAGGUGACUUCUAGGCUUUCACUUAGAAGUUUGUGAUGCUAGACAAGGGUAGGUUGACUCUUUGAAUCUGAUAUUUCUUAAAUGCUAGCCUAGUGCCAACCUGGCAGACAGAAGGUACCAAAUAAAUAGUAAUUAUUAUUAUAAUCUAAUAGAGACCAAUGUAGAAAAGUAAAAUGAAUGUUCUAGCCCCACGAAAUAUGAUCUCUUCCUCUCUCAAUGAAUUUUAUGCAUUUUUUAAUAUUUGUUUACUGGGUUUUAAACUCUGUGUGAUUUUAUGGAAACUUUGCUUGACUUACAUGGACUUCCCAGCCCAAAAGACUGCUCUUGCACCUAGUGGGAAAAGGGAGACUUAGGACUGAAUCAAUAGUCUUCAGGCUUUUGCAUUACAUGAGGAUAAUGAGAAUGAGGAAGAGCAACUGGCCUUCCUAUAGGAACUAUUAAAGUAGUACAUGAAAUAAACCCAAGACACAAAAGCUAAGUCAUUAAAAAUAUCUAAUACAUUCUGAGUGUUAAGUUAAAGGAAACAUCUCAUUAAAAUGUCUGAAAUGUGUUUUAAAUUAAUUCUGAGUCAUAUUCUGGGUGUACAAUUUAUGGAACAGUUAAAAACAAGUAAACAAAAAACUUUUUAAAUGAAUGGAUAACUAGUGCAAAUUUAUGUGAGUGCUGGAGAUUUAACUGAAAAGAACUUUACUUUCAUUUUUCUUCAUUGUAGAGCAGUAAAUAACCAAACAGAUAAGUACCAACCACAUGAAUCGGUCCAAAAACGAAAAUCUGUAUUCAAAGACUAAAUUUAAG